rnacentral:lncRNA from 1 species
CAUUUUUGUGGCCCAAAAUAAAGAGAUAAAGAGAGGUGGUGGAGACUCUUUAAGACAAAGACUUGGUUGAUGUUCUCUUAUCAUUUUUACAUACAUAAAUUCUAUGAGCUCUCUCAAGUUUAUAUCUUCAUCUCUCAACUUCAAGCAUCUGCCUCAAAUUAUAUCUAGGAUUCUUGAAGAAAUCCUCCUCUUUCAAAGCUAACUUUGAAGGUUAAUUCAAGCCCUUGAAGGACUGCAAGUCAAGGUCUAAAUUUGCAGAAAUUUAGGUAAUCUUACUUCCCCAUUUUAUCUCAAUAUAUAUAUUAGAUUGGGUGAGAUUUAUCUAGGUUAUUUUCAUGAAAUUAUGGGACUAUGACCGAAAUUGAUGAGUCCAAGCUUUAGUGAUUAUGAUAAAACGUGUGGAGCUGCCUAAUAUGGUGAAUCUUGGAGCAGUAUUGGGUGGAUAGUUGGAUUCAUUUGGUGGUGAAGGACGCUGUUUUAUACCUAUGUAUGCUAGUUAAAGUGUUGUUUGUGUGUAUGAGAUAGUUGGGUGUUGAAACACCAGUUUUGAAAAUUGUGGAGCUUUAUGCCCGCUAGGUGUUCGACAUAAUAUCCUACUGGUCUAUUUCUUGACCUAUUGACUCUAUUGACUCUAUUGUAAUGUAAUCGAUCUGUAUAUUUAUAUUAUAAUUUAUAGUGUUGGAUGGUCUUAUUAGAAAGUCGUGUGAAGUGUUUUCAGGGAAGAAAUGAAGGGUCUAGUGAUGUACCAUUUAAAUUGAGGGUUGUGCAGGCUUGCUACCCAUUAUGUGUCUAUUUAUUUGUCUGGGUGUUUUGAAGCUCGGGCAGUGCCAGGAGAUUUCAUGAGAAAGUCGUAAGUUGUGUAAACAUGUGAGAAGGGAAUGUGUGAAAGGAACACCCAAUAGUAGAUGGGUUACAAGUAUGCUGCCUGCCUAUUGUCUUGGUAAGUUGAAGUGAUCCAAGCUUGUUGAUUAGCUGCUAAUAUAACUCUAUUACUUGCCACUAUUGUAGAUUAACACUUUAAAGGAAAGUCUGAAUCAUGGUAAUACAUAGUACUGUCCGGGAGACAAGGUAAGUAAGGCUAUUCAAUUUAAUAUUCUUUGGCAUGAAUUCCUAUAUUUCUGGUACCAACAAAGCAAGCUUUCUAAAUAAUCCUUGUUGUUAAAGAUAUGUUGUGAUGGUGUAUAAUCUCUAAUUUAUUUAAUAUCCUUCUACUGCCACGGUUUCACAAAUGUGUCAAACAACUCCAAUAGGUGUUCAUUAUCCUAUAUCGAUGUUGUAAUACUUUCAAGUACGAGUAUGAUAAAAGUACUCUAAAAAGUAAGUUUCAUGAGUUAUCCUCUAAAUCAAAUGAGGAGUCCUUGAGUCAAUAAGAUCCUACAUUACACAUGUUAUGAGUUUUCAUAGGCCAGAUAUAUUCUGUCCAAUUUAUAAGUCCUUACAUGGAAUACUUAUCUCUUAUUUCGGAUUUGUCCAUGUGCAUCAUUAGUUCACAUAUUUAUACACCCUUUCAUUUGGCAUAAACUACUAAGUGUUAAGCUAUCGUAACAUCUUAUACAGUCAUUACCUCUUCAUAAGAGGAGUUGCACGCUUCCAUUUGAAAUGCAUGUAUGCCCCCAUUUGAAAAGUUGAAACGUGUUUUAAAUGAACCAUGCAGCAUGUCCUAAUGUCCCGACUUUCCGAAAACUUUCAUAGAUUGUUUGUAUAUAUUCUUUGUACCUAAUGAAUCUCAUUGAGUCAUAAGUUCCUAAGUAUUACAUCGGAAUUACAUUUUGCUUCCAAUAUCAUUUUUGCUACCUCAAGUAUUUUAUUCACAUGUCUACACCACUGAUAUAUAUAGUCCUAAAGCUCAAAAGAAUUAUGACCACCGAAAGAACAAUCUCAAAGAUCAAAUAUACAAGGUAAAGAUCUCAAUCUAUAUAAUUAUGGGUGGCAGCUCAGGGGAUGAAAUACCUAGCAUGGGCCGAACUCAAUCUAUAUAAUUAUGGGUGGCAGCUCAGGGGUUGAAAUACCUAGCAUGGGCCGAUCUCAAUCUAUAUAAUUAUGAGUGGCAACCCAGGGGCAAAAGCCUAGCAUGGGUCGAUCCCGAUUUGUAUAUUUAUGAGGAUAGCAUUCCAGGGGUUAAAUGCCUAGCAUGGGUCAUUCUCUUCUACCACUGACCAGUUGCUCACUUCUAUUACAUGCCUUACAUAGAUUAUGAAGCAGCGAAGAUUAUGAAAAGAAUGUUAUGUAUAGUGAUCCAAGUAUAGUAAUAUAUCACGUGCCCAAGUGCUAAUAGUCAUAUCCACAAAAAAUUGAUUAACGUGUUGAGAAGGGUAAAACAUGGCAUUGUGAUCCUAUAGGUUGUUCCUAGUUUCCAGAUGCCCCAAUUGUUCAUGUGUUUAUAUGUUCUAAUAGUUCACUUGUUCACAUGUUAUCCAUUCUAAUAGUUCACGUGUCAUGUGUUCACUUAUUUUCUUUGACGUGCCAUCUGUUCUCAUAAUUCACCUUUUCAUAUGUGACCUAUUCUCAUAUUUAUCUGUUCGAGUGUCGCAUAAUCUCACAACUCACAUGUCAUUGCCUUCUUGUUAAUGUGUUAAUGCCCUUGAUGGCUCAAUUGUUUUUUUAUUACAUUCUUACAGAUCACUCGCUUACGUGCGUGUCUGCUAGUCCAUUUGCUUAUAUAACUACAUGUGUCCAGUUCACCUGCUUAUAUGGUUGUCUUAUAAUCCAUUUGCUUAUGUGACUACAUGUCUUAUAAAUCAGUUUAUCAAAUGCUACAUGUCUUCACAACUCACUUAUUCACGCGUCACAUGUUCCCAUAACUUACUUGUCCUUAUGUUAAAUCCCAUUUUGUUCUCCUCCACUUGUAGGUUAUAAACUCCAUGUGGCUUAUCAGUUCUUCUGCUAUUAUCCCCUCAUUGCUUACUUGCUUAAGUGAUACAUAUGUUAUAAUAAAGUAUCAUGAUGAAAUAGAGAAAAAAAAGGGAAUUUAAUUAUGUCUCAUUUUAUACCGAUUCAUACUGCUUUGAUAUAUGUAUAUGUGUCAUCCACUUGGGCAAGAAGAGGUACGUCAACUUAAAUGAUCAUAAGUUUUUGCAAUAAGAUCUAUUGAAUGUUUGCAGUUUCCAACUGUUGCUACUCUAAUAUGUCGUGUUCUCUUAUAUGAUUUUCAGUAACUAUAGUGUUUUCAAUU